UGAAACCAGAUAUGACUUAGUGGCGGACGGGUGAGUAACACGUGAGCAACCUGCCUUUCAGAGAGGGACAACAGUUGGAAACGGUCGCUAAUACCGCAUGACGUGUUCGGAUGGCAUCAUCUGAACAUCAAAGAUUUAUCGCUGAAAGAUGGGCUCGCGUCUGAUUAGAUAGUUGGUGGGGUAACGGCCUACCAAGUCUACGAUCAGUAGCCGGACUGAGAGGUUGAACGGCCACAUUGGGACUGAGAUACGGACCAAACUCC
rnacentral:rRNA from 1 species